GAUGAACGCUAGCUACAGGCUUAACACAUGCAAGUCGAGGGACCGGCGCACGGGUGAGUAACACGUAUCCAACCUGCCCUUUACUCGGGGAUAGCCUUUCGAAAGAAAGAUUAAUACCCGAUGUAAAGGAUGGGGAUGCGUGCCAUUAGGUUGUGGGGAAGGUAACGGCUCACCAAGCCUUCGAUGGAUAGGGGUUCGGAGAGGAAGGGCCCCCACAUUGGAAAUGAGACACGGUCCAAACUCCUACGGGAUGCAGCAGUGAGGAAGAGUGGUCAAUGGGCGUUAGCCUGAACCAGCCAAGUAGCGUGAAGGAUGAAGGCUUAUGGGUCGUAAACUUCUUUUAUAUAAGAAUAUGUAUUAUAUGAAGAAGGAUCGGCUAACUCCGUGCCAGCAGCCGCGGUAAUUC
rnacentral:rRNA from 1 species